rnacentral:tRNA from 1 species
ACCUGGGUAGCUCAGUUGGUUGAGUGUCUGACUUCGGCUCAGGCCAUGAUCUCGCGGUCCGUGGGUUCGAGCCCCAUGUCAGGCU